UACGUAGGGGGCAAGCGUUGUCCGGAAUCAUUGGGCGUAAAGCGCGUGUAGGCGGUUACGUAAGUCUGCUGUGAAAGUCGGAGGCUCAACCUUCGAAAGCCGGUGGAUACUGCGUGACUAGAGUACGGAAGAGGAGAGUGGAAUUCCUGGUGUAGCGGUAAAAUGCGCAGAUAUCAGGAGGAACACCAGUGGCGAAGGCGGAGACCUGGGCCGAUACUGACGCUGAGGUGCGAAAGCGUGGGGAGCAAACAGG
rnacentral:rRNA from 1 species